GUCGGGAUGAUCAGGCUCGAGCCGAUCCUCCCACCCUUUGUGUACCUACCUCUGUUGCUUUGGCGGGCCGCGGUCCCCCGCGGCCGCCCCCCCUCCCCGGGGGGUGGCUAGUGCCCGCCAGAGGACCAUCAAACUCCAGUCAGUGAACGUCGCAGUCUGAAAAAACAUUCAAUAAACUAAAACUUUCAACAACGGAUCUCUUGGUUCUGGCAUCGAUGAAGAACGCAGCGAAAUGCGAUAAGUAAUGUGAAUUGCAGAAUUCAGUGAAUCAUCGAAUCUUUGAACGCACAUUGCGCCCCUUGGUAUUCCGAGGGGCAUGCCUGUUCGAGCGUCAUUACAACCCUCAAGCUCUGCUUGGUAUUGGGCACCGCCCUUCUUCGGGCGCGCCUCAAAGACCUCGGCGGUGGCUGUCUUGCCUCAAGCGUAGUAGAAUACACCUCGCUUCGGAGCGCAGGGCGUCGCCCGCCGGACGAACCUUCUGAACUUUUCUCAAGGUUGACCUCGGAUCAGAUAGGGAUACCCGCUGAACUUAAGCAUAUCAAAAACCCAAAAGAAA
rnacentral:rRNA from 1 species